GAAUGUUAGAUGAUUUUAUAAUCGAUUUACGGAUUUAAUUGCGUAUAUUUAUAUUUAUAUAUUAAUUAUUUGACUUCCGUAAAACCGUCCACUCGUAACGGGGUAGCAAAUUUUCUUCCCGGAAGUUUCAACAAAACUCACCUUUAGCCUAAUUUCAAUAUUCCGGAUAUUUUUCGUGUUUUGACUUUUUCGAUCCGGAGUACGGUUUUCCCCGUAGUCGGUCCGGCGGAGUUUUUCGGGUAUUUUAAUUGUUGAUAAUUAUCUGGUUGUCUCGAUAAACGUGAAACUAGAUAUUUUGAUUCAUCCUUAUCUUGUAAUAAUUGCAGUGGGACCCGCAUACUAAUGACUGAUUAAAAAGCCCCGUUUUGAUGAUUAUCUUGAAAACCAGUACCGAUUGGACCCCGUUUUAUUAAUAUAAAGCUAUUAAAUACGUAUUUUCAUGUCAUAAACGAUCCAAAGGGGUACCAAUUAUUUGUAAAUAUAAAUAGACCUUUCUAGAGCUUAUUUUCACCGUAGAAAUCAUUUCACCAGUUUCUUCUCACGAAUACCGAGAGAAACCGAAGUAUGUUCUUCGUGUUCUUCAUAAUCAAACGAAGAUUUGAAGGCGUUAUUGGAAUCCGAUGGAGGUGUAUGAAUAGUCAAAACGAAGCUAUCGACGUGUAGAUUAUAGUUUAAUCAUUCGUUUGUGUGCAGAUUCAACAGGAUUUGGACGAGACGUGUACGCUCGAAGACGUCAGAAAGUCGGAAUGGUAUUGCAAAGCGAAUAAGGGAUGAUUGAGUAAGCGAAGCGAAGUGGCGAAUAGAGUAUAGCUAGAGAUGGUCUAGAGAUUACGAGAUGCAUAGAUUGUGAAAGUGGAGAGAUGAGAUAGAGAUGUGAGACUGGAGUCAGAUUUAAGAAAGGCUUAAAGAUGAGAUGAUUGAUUGAGAUUGUGAGUAAGGCUAAUGCUAGGCGAGGAGACAGAGUUGAGGAUCCAGUGGUCGAGGAGUGUUCAGGAAAGUUGAUGAGGUUGGUGCAAGCUGGAAUAGUUGACAGUGAUUCUUCUUAUCGAAGAUGAUCUGAUUUGGUAAGAGAUGUUGUGUAAUAAUAGUGGUAGAUUCUAAUUUCAAUACUGUAACCUGGAUGCGAUCCUGUUGCUUUUAGGGGGUUUAAAUGUUCUCUUUCGAAUCAUUUAUUAAAGUUUAAAUGUUCUCUUGAAA